rnacentral:rRNA from 1 species
CCUACGGGUGACAGCAGUAGGGAAUAUUGCUCAAUGGGGGAAACCCUGAAGCAGCAACGCCGCGUGGGGGAUGAAGGUUUUCGGAGUGUAAAGUCCUAUUGGCAGAGAAGAAAAUGACGGUAGCUAACGAAUAAGCACCGGCUAACGCCGUGCCAGCAGCCGCGGUAAUACGGAGGGGGCAAGCGUUAAUCGGCAUGACUGGGCGUAAAGAGGGCGUAGGGGGGAUUGCAAGUCAGAUGUGAAAUCCUAUGGCUUAACCAUCGAACUGCCUUUGAAACUGUUAUUCUAGAGUGUAGGCGAGGUAUGUGGAAUUCUUGGUGUAGCGGUCACAUCCGUAGAUAUCACGAG